rnacentral:rRNA from 1 species
AUUGAACGCUGGCGGCAUGCCUUACACAUGCAAGUCGAACGGUAACAGGUUAAGCUGACGAGUGGCGAACGGGUGAGUAAUGUAUCGGAACGUGCCCAGUCGUGGGGGAUAACUGCUCGAAAGAGCAGCUAAUACCGCAUACGACCUGAGGGUGAAAGCGGGGGAUCGCAAGAACUCGCGCGAUUGGAGCGGCCGAUAUCAGAUUAGGUAGUUGGUGGGGUAAAGGCCUACCAAGCCUACGAUCUGUAGCUGGUCUGAGAGGACGACCAGCCACACUGGGACUGAGACACGGCCCAGACUCCUACGGGAGGCAGCAGUGGGGAAUUUUGGACAAUGGACGCAAGUCUGAUCCAGCCAUGCCGCGUGCGGGAAGAAGGCCUUCGGGUUGUAAACCGCUUUUGUCAGGGAAGAAAAGGUUCUGGUUAAUACCUGGGACUCAUGACGGUACCUGAAGAAUAAGCACCGGCUAACUACGUGCCAGCAGCCGCCGUAAUAC